GCAGGCCUUGGGGGGGGGGCACAUAACACAUUCUCAUUCAGUUUCACACAGAUAUUUGUACAGUUCGGAGUGUUUUACGAGUCGAAAAAUAAUUCCGAAAAUUCUUUCCUAUUUUCGUGUCUAGCUAGAAAAGACAGAGUUCCAGUUGAAGCAACAAGAUGUGCAAUUAUCCUUGCUAUCCCUCUGCCGCCCUGUGCCCCUGCGGCGGUUGUGGUCCCAGUGGCUUCUACGAUCCCUGCUUUGGCUCCUACAAUGGUCCAUUUAAUACGCGUUGUGGCCCUAGCGGUCCUCAAUGCUGGGGAGGCUUCACUUUUUGUUGACCUUUGACUGAAGCCGAUGCUGGGAACUGUAACUCCAAACACUCAACUCUGCUACUCUGCCUUGGCUUG